rnacentral:lncRNA from 1 species
GCCCCUUGGAAGAAGAGAGGAAGAAGCUCCUGGAUCUGCUGCACUAUUCUCUUGAAUCUAGUCGUCCGUGGAGAAAGAAGGAGAAAGAGUUUUGGUUUGUGGAAGAAAGAAAGAGAGAAAAGAAGAGAGGGGAAGAGAAAGGGACGGCGGCUUGAAGGCAUUUAGGAGUGAUAAUCCCCCAAAGGAGGGCUGAUGUCCUCAAUUUAGGGCCAC